rnacentral:rRNA from 1 species
ACGGAAGGCAGCAGUGGGGAAUAUUGGACAAUGGGGGAAACCCUGAUCCAGCGACGCCGCGUGAGUGAAGAAGUAUUUCGGUAUGUAAAGCUCUAUCAGCACGGAAGAAAAUGACGGUACUUGACUAAGAAGCUCCGGCUAAAUACGUGCCAGCAGCCGCGGUAAUACGUAUGGAGCAAGCGUUAUCCGGAUUUACUGGGUGUAAAGGGAGCGUAGACGGCAAAGCAAGUCUGAAGUGAAAUCUAUGGGCUCAACCCAUAAACUGCUUUGGAAACUGUUUAGCUAGAGUGCAGGAGAGGUAAGUGGAAUUCCUAGUGUAGCGGUGAAAUGCGUAGAUAUUAGGAGGAACACCAGUGGCGAAGGCGGCUUACUGGACUGUAACUGACGUUGAGGCUCGAAAGCGUGGGGAGCAAACAGGAUUAGAUACCCUGGUA